UCUCACUGCAUUGCAACUUUCCUCGCUUUUCUAUCCAAUAAUGAAACCCCUAAAUGAGACAUUCAUUUCCUUUCAGUCUUCCAAGACAGACUCUGUAUCUACUGUAGGUACUCCAGACAAUCCUUUCAGAGUCACUCUAUGAAGGAGAUGGGCAGUUCUAAGUACCAUAUGAUGCAUCAAAAAAUGAAUAAUUCAAGAAUGAACUUCUCAGAGAUACCCAACUGGCACCAGCAUUGCAACUUCAAAUUAGAAGUUUCAAGGAUUGUUGUCCACUGUCUUAAAUUGCUUGCCAACUUUAUCCUUGGUUGUCUUUUAAUUUGCCAUUGCCAUUGUUUUUUAUUCUUGUACUUUUGUUUCAAUAUUAUGUUAUUGCUGUUGUUGUCUAUUAGCCUGGAAUCAGUUGGAUCUAGGGCAAGUUAGAAAGAUUUUGAAUAAACAAAUAGUUGGCAAA